rnacentral:lncRNA from 1 species
AGAACCGUUUGCUUGCCAUGAACUAUAUUGACGAGGGCUCAGAUGACAAGCUUUAUGAUGCUCACAGGUCAGUUUAUGCACUGUUUGCAAUGAAAGUGCCAUUUCUAUGUUACCAUGAUGCUAAUACUAUUCAGUAUUAACUCGAUAUUUUGCAGGGAAUGGGGAAAGCGCUUUAUGAAAUUGUAUGCACAGUAUACUAGUUGGGAUAACAUAAAAAUCGCUGAUCGUCCACUGGUCAUUGGUUAUGUGUCUCCUGAUUUUUUUACUCACUCUGUGUCUUACUUCGUUGAAGCCCCGCUUACACACCAUGAUUACACAAAUUGCAAGGUGGUCGUCUAUUCUGGUGUUGUGAAGGUAUAGACAAUUUGUUCCUUGCUAGCUAUUCUGGAUUUUGGGCACACAGUGACAAUCAACUUAUUUUGGCUGACUUGCUACCCCUUUUUAACUAAACAAAAACAUGAAUCCAGUGUCCAACAGCCUAGAGAAUUUAUCUAUCAAAAUUAAUUUGGUAACACGAGAUAUACAGACUAGAAAAUAAGUAACUGCAAUGUGAAGCUAUCAAGGUGGAUCUGGGGUUAUUUCAUCAUUUAUCCUUCUGUUCACACACGGUCUUUUUUCUGAUCAUAUUUUUUAUUAUUGAUGAUUCUCUAGGCAGAUGCCAAGACCCUUCGAUUCAAGGAUAAGGUGUUAAAAAAGGGCGGGGUCUGGAGAGAUAUAUAUGGUAUUGAUGAAAAGAAGGUUGCUACCUUGGUCAGAGAGGAUAAAGUGGAUAUACUUGUGGAACUUACUGGUCAUACAGCAAAUAAUAAACUAGGAACAAUGGCGUGCCGGCCUGCUCCUAUUCAGGUAUUUGUGUUCCACGUGGCAUUUCAACGACUUAACUUUAUUUUCAGAACAGCUUGCUAUGAGCAGUUUUAUGCCUAUUAUUAUGUUCUGGGAGCUUCUAUUUGUCCCCUUCCAUCCCUAUCCACUCAAAUCAUUCCAAGUAGUUUGAUCAAUGUGUCAAUUGCUAUCUGACUGUUUUGCUGAGAAGGGCCUUUCUAACUUGGGUAUGUAUGUCCUUACAGGUUACAUGGAUUGGUUACCCUAAUACGACAGGUUUACCAGCAAUUGACUACAGAAUAACAGAUUCAUUGGCUGAUUCUCCUAAUACAAACCAAAAGUAUGCCAGAUGCUUUUCAUGUAGUUAUUCUGUCAUGCAGUUUCUCCCUAUGCGUCUAGAACCUCAUAGUAACGACUGUCUGCAGGCAUGUUGAAGAGUUGGUGCGCCUUCCUGAAAGUUUUCUUUGUUACACUCCUUCUCCAGAAGCUGGGCCAGUUUGUCCCACACCAGCAAUCUCAAAUGGUUUUGUCACGUUUGGUAGUUUUAACAAUCUAGCAAAGGUGCAUAACAGAUUUGAACGCUUUAUUUUAUCUCUAUUGAAUCACUCUGUUCAUAAAGUUAUUUUUGGCAGAUCACACCGAAAGUUAUGCAAGUUUGGGCCAGAAUAUUAUGUGCAGUCCCUAACUCACGGCUUGUGGUUAAGUGCAAGCCAUUCUGCUGUGACAGUAUACGACAGAAAUUUUUAUCGACACUUGAGGAGUUGGGUUUGGAGUCACUACGAGUUGAUUUACUACCACUCAUCCAUCUCAACCAUGACCACAUGCAAGCAUAUUCCUUAAUGGACAUCAGGUGAGAAGUUGUUUCACUUGUAAUAUACUCCAUCCGUUCCGAAAUAGAUGACUCAACUUUGUACAAAGUUAGUACAAAGUUGGGUCAUCUAUUUUGGAACGGAGGGAGUAGUUGUGUUAUAUACUCAUAUAUAGGAUCUUCUAUGUCAAGUCUUGCAUGUUUGUCAGGGUGUGCGUUUAUAUGUAAUCUUUAGAUCCAUGCCAAUAAAUAUCAUUAUCCUACAUUGAUCACUGGCAAAUCCUUACUAUUUUCGCGUGAAUAUUCAGAAAAUGUGUUCUCCAUUAUCGGUGUUCCUCUGAAGCUGAUUGAACUUCCAUUUGUGUUUUUGCAGCCUAGAUACGUUUCCAUAUGCUGGGACUACCACUACAUGUGAAUCUCUUUACAUGGGGGUUCCAUGUGUUACAAUGGCUGGUUCAGUUCAUGCUCAUAAUGUUGGUGUUAGCCUACUCACUAAAGUUGGUACGUUCUAACAAUAGGCGGACAUGAAUUUUUAUUUAUUUUUCUCCUGCCUAGUUAUUUAUUUUUUCACCGUCUAGUUCCAUCUGUUAUUAUGGAACCUAAAAAAGGGGACCUGUAUAUUGUUGUUAUAUAAACAUAGGGAAUUGUCUGACUGAGAAUUAUUUGUUGCAGGGUUGGGGAGGCUGGUUGCCAAAACGGAGGAUGAAUAUGUUAGCUUGGCACUGGAGUUGGCAUCAGAUGUAAGUGCCUUAGAAGAACUGAGGAAGAGCCUCCGGGAACUGAUGAUAAAAUCACCAGUUUGUGACGGAGAGAGUUUCACACGCGGCCUGGAAUCUGCAUACCGAAGCAUGUGGCAUAGGUACUGUGAUGGGGAUUCACCAGCUCUCAGGCGCUUAGAAGUGUUGGCGGGCGAAGACUUGGACAAGACGGCUGUGAAACUUGUAGAUCUUAAAGCACAGAGAGCGAAUGCUACUGCAGAGGAAGAUAACCAGUCCCCAAUAAAGAAGGUUGACGCCAUGUCCAAGGGAGGUGAGCCCCAAAUAAUGGCAAACGAUGUGAGUUCACCUGAAGGUAACCAGGCCCUCGUGACGGCGAAGGCGCAGCCCCAAAUAAUGGUGAAUGGUGUGAGUUCACCUCACUCCCCUUCGGGGAGAUGCGAAGCAAAUGGGCAUAGCAGCCGAUGACCAAUGGGAGGCUCCAUUGAUGCAGGCACACACUGAUGUAUUAUAGGUUGAGAUUUGCCAUUGAUGUAUCGUCAGGAAGUCGCUGCUGGGGGUCAAUAUAGGUGUUCUGGUUGUUGACCCUGGAAACGGAUGUGGUUGUGAAACACUGGUGACCCCUGACUUGUAGCCAGAUGUAAUAUAAUUCGUGGGGGAUGCUUAGUCUGAUUUGUAGAUCAAGGUGUAUGAGUAAAGAGUAUAUGCCAAGUUGAGUUGGCAUGGUAGAAACAGAGAGAAAGGCGUUGGUUGUAUAUGUAGGAACAGCUUCUAGAUUCUCUAAAAUUUAACUGAGGCUAUUUCAACUUCGAUUCUCUUGAGUUUAACUGUUUUUGUCUUCAGUUUCUUGUCUUUUUG